AGAGUUUGAUCCUGGCUCAGAUUGAACGCUGGCGGCAUGCCUAACACAUGCAAGUCGAACGGCAGCACAGUCGUAGCAAUACGAUGGGUGGCGAGUGGCGGACGGGUGAGGAAUACAUCGGGACCUGCCCAGACGUGGGGGAUAACGUAGGGAAACUUACGCUAAUACCGCAUACGUCCUACGGGAGAAAGCGGGGGAUCUUCGGACCUCGCGCGGUUGGAUGGACCGAUGUUCAAUUAGCUAGUUGGUGGGGUAAUGGCCUACCAAGGCGACGAUCGAUAGCUGGUCUGAGAGGAUGAUCAGCCACACUGGGACUGAGACACGGCCCAGACUCCUACGGGAGGCAGCAGUGGGGAAUAUUGGACAAUGGGCGCAAGCCUGAUCCAGCAAUGCCGCGUGUGUGAAGAAGGCCUUCGGGUUGUAAAGCACUUUUAUCAGG
rnacentral:rRNA from 1 species